rnacentral:rRNA from 1 species
CCUACGGGAGGCUGCAGUGGGGGAUAUUGCACAAUGGGGGAAACCCUGAUGCAGCGAUGCCGCGUGAAUGAAGACGGCCUUCGGGGUGUAAAGAUCUGUCGCAGGGGACGAAAAUGACGGUACCCGGCAAGAAAGCUCCGGCUAACGACGUGCCAGCAGCCGCGGUAAGACGUAGGGAGCAAGCGUUGUCCGGAAUGACUGGGUGUAAAGGGAGCGUAGGCGGGAGGAGAAGUGGAAUGUUAAAUCCAUGGGCUCAACCCAUAGCUGCGUUCAAAACGGUUCUUCUUGAGUGCAGUAGAGGCAGGCGGCCUUCCUCGUGUAGCGGUGAAAUGCGUAGCUCUUCGGAGG